AUUGAACGCUGGCGGCAGGCUUAACACAUGCAAGUCGAGCGAGCGGCGGACGGGUGAGUAAUGUAUGGGGAUCUGCCUGAUGGAGGGGGAUAACUACUGGAAACGGUAGCUAAUACCGCAUACCAUCAGAUGUGCCCAGAUGGGAUUAGCUAGUAGGUGGGGUAAAGGCUCACCAAGGCGACGAUCCCUAGCUGGUCUGAGAGGAUGACCAGCCACACUGGAACUGAGACACGGUCCAGACUCCUACGGGAGGCAGCAGUGGGGAAUAUUGGACAAUGGGCGCAAGCCUGAUACAGCCAUGCCGCGUGUGUGAAGAAGGCCUUCGGGUUGUAAAGCACUUUCAGCGGGGAGGCGUUACUCGCAGAAGAAGCACCGGCUAACUCCGUGCCAGCAGCCGCGGUAAUUC
rnacentral:rRNA from 1 species